rnacentral:rRNA from 1 species
GCUCAGGACGAACGCUGGCGGCGUGCUUAACACAUGCAAGUCGAACGAAGAGCGAUGGAAGCUUGCUUCUAUCAAUCUUAGUGGCGAACGGGUGAGUAACGCGUAAUCAACCUGCCCUUCAGAGGGGGACAACAGUUGGAAACGACUGCUAAUACCGCAUACGAUCUAAUCUCGGCGUCGAGGAUAGAUGAAAGGUGGCCUCUACAUGUAAGCUAUCACUGAAGGAGGGGAUUGCGUCUGAUUAGCUAGUUGGAGGGGUAACGGCCCACCAAGGCGAUGAUCAGUAGCCGGUCUGAGAGGAUGAACGGCCACAUUGGGACUGAGACACGGCCCAGACUCCUACGGGAGGCAGCAGUA